CGGGUGAGUAACACGUGGAUAACCUACCUAUAAGACUGGGAUAACUUCGGGAAACCGGAGCUAAUACCGGAUAAUAUUUUUAACCGCAUGGUUCAAAAGUGAAAGACGGUCUUGCUGUCACUUAUAGAUGGAUCCGCGCUGCAUUAGCUAGUUGGUAAGGUAACGGCUUACCAAGGCAACGAUGCAUAGCCGACCUGAGAGGGUGAUCGGCCACACUGGAACUGAGACACGGUCCAG
rnacentral:rRNA from 1 species